GAUGAACGCUGGCGGCGUGCCUAAUACAUGCAAGUCGAGCGAACGGACGAGAAGCUUGCUUCUCUGAUGUUAGCGGCGGACGGGUGAGUAACACGUGGAUAACCUACCUAUAAGACUGGGAUAACUUCGGGAAACCGGAGCUAAUACCGGAUAAUAUUUUGAACCGCAUGGUUCAAAAGUGAAAGACGGUCUUGCUGUCACUUAUAGAUGGAUCCGCGCUGCAUUAGCUAGUUGGUAAGGUAACGGCUUACCAAGGCAACGAUGCAUAGCCGACCUGAGAGGGUGAUCGGCCACACUGGAACCGAGACACGGUCCAGACUCCUACGGGAGGCAGCAGUAGGGAAUCUUCCGCAAUGGGCGAAAGCCUGACGGAGCAACGCCGCGUGAGUGAUGAAGGUCUUCGGAUCGUAAAACUCUGUUAUUAGGGAAGAACAUAUGUGUAAGUAACUGUGCACAUCUUGACGGUACCUAAUCAGAAAGCCACGGCUAACUACGUGCCAGCAGCCGCGGUAAUACGUAGGUGGCAAGCGUUAUCCGGAAUUAUUGGGCGUAAAGCGCGCGUAGGCGGUUUUUUAAGUCUGAUGUGAAAGCCCACGGCUCAACCGUGGAGGGUCAUUGGAAACUGGAAAACUUGAGUGCAGAAGAGGAAAGUGGAAUUCCAUGUGUAGCGGUGAAAUGCUCAGAGAUAUGGAGGAACACCAGUGGCGAAGGCGACUUUCUGGUCUGUAACUGACGCUGAUGUGCGAAAGCGUGGGGAUCAAACAGGAUUAGAUACCCUGGUAGUCCACGCCGUAAACGAUGAGUGCUAAGUGUUAGGGGGUUUCCGCCCCUUAGUGCUGCAGCUAACGCAUUAAGCACUCCGCCUGGGGAGUACGACCGCAAGGUUGAAACUCAAAGGAAUUGACGGGGACCCGCACAAGCGGUGGAGCAUGUGGUUUAAUUCGAAGCAACGCGAAGAACCUUACCAAAUCUUGACAUCCUUUGACAACUCUAGAGAUAGAGCCUUCCCCUUCGGGGGACAAAGUGACAGGUGGUGCAUGGUUGUCGUCAGCUCGUGUCGUGAGAUGUUGGGUUAAGUCCCGCAACGAGCGCAACCCUUAAGCUUAGUUGCCAUCAUUAAGUUGGGCACUCUAAGUUGACUGCCGGUGACAAACCGGAGGAAGGUGGGGAUGACGUCAAAUCAUCAUGCCCCUUAUGAUUUGGGCUACACACGUGCUACAAUGGACAAUACAAAGGGCAGCGAAACCGCGAGGUCAAGCAAAUCCCAUAAAGUUGUUCUCAGUUCGGAUUGUAGUCUGCAACUCGACUACAUGAAGCUGGAAUCGCUAGUAAUCGUAGAUCAGCAUGCUACGGUGAAUACGUUCCCGGGUCU
rnacentral:rRNA from 1 species